GAUGAACGCUGGCGGCGUGCUUAACACAUGCAAGUCGAACGAUGAAGCCCAGCUUGCUGGGUGGAUUAGUGGCGAACGGGUGAGUAACACGUGAGUAACCUGCCCUUAACUCUGGGAUAAGCCUGGGAAACUGGGUCUAAUACCGGAUAGGAGCGUCCACCGCAUGGUGGGUGUUGGAAAGAUUUAUCGGUUUUGGAUGGACUCGCGGCCUAUCAGCUUGUUGGUGAGGUAAUGGCUCACCAAGGCGACGACGGGUAGCCGGCCUGAGAGGGUGACCGGCCACCCUGGGACUGCGACACGGCCCAGACUCCUACGGGAGGCAGCAGUGGGGAAUAUUGCACAAUGGGCGCAAGCCUGAUGCAGCGACGCCGCGUGAGGGAUGACGGCCUUCGGGUUGUAAACCUCUUUCAGUAGGGAAGAAGCGAAAGUGACGGUACCUGCAGAAGAAGCACCGGCUAACUACGUG
rnacentral:rRNA from 1 species